ensembl:ncRNA R03A10.12 ncRNA
UCGGAGGAUGAGCCCGACUUUUUCCGGGUUUUAGAUGGGAUAAGCUGUCGAGAACAGAAUAUUACUAAUUGCGGCGCGGGACGAAGAAGCCGAAGCCGAUCAAAAAUCUGAACGUGAACAAAGGAGAAACUCCUCA